UUAGCUAGUAGGUGGGGUAAUGGCUCACCUAGGCGACGAUCCCUAGCUGGUCUGAGAGGAUGACCAGCCACACUGGAACUGAGACACGGUCCAGACUCCUACGGGAGGCAGCAGUGGGGAAUAUUGCACAAUGGGCGCAAGCCUGAUGCAGCCAUGCCGCGUGUAUGAAGAAGGCCUUCGGGUUGUAAAGUACUUUCAGCGAGGAGGAAGGCAUUAAGGUUAAUAACCUUAGUGAUGACGUACUCGCAGAAGAAG
rnacentral:rRNA from 1 species